rnacentral:rRNA from 1 species
UACGUAGGGUGCGAGCGUUACUCGGAAUUACUGGGCGUAAAGCGUGCGCAGGCGGUUUUGUAAGUCAGAUGUGAAAUCCCCGGGCUUAACCUGGGAACUGCGUUUGAAACUACAAGGCUAGAGUGUGGCAGAGGGGGGUGGAAUUCCACGUGUAGCAGUGAAAUGCGUAGAGAUGUGGAGGAACACCGAUGGCGAAGGCAGCCUUCUGGGCCAACACUGACGCUCAUGCACGAAAGCGUGGGGAGCAAACAGG